AACGUAGGUACCGAGCGUUAUCCGGAUUUACUGGGCGUAAAGCGUGUUCAGGCGGCCGCGCAAGUCGGGCAUGAAAUCUCUCGGCUCAACCGGGAGGGGUUGUCCGAUACUGCGCGGCUGGAGGGCAGUAGAGGGUGGUGGAAUUCCGGGUGUAGUGGUGAAAUGCGUAGAGAUCCGGAGGAACACCAGUGGCGCAAGCGGCCACCUGGACUGUACCUGACGCUCAAACACGAAAGCUAGGGGAGCGAACGGG
rnacentral:rRNA from 1 species